rnacentral:lncRNA from 1 species
GGGCUUCUACGCGGGAGCCGGUCUGUAGCUGUGAGUCAGCAUCCAUGGCUCCAAAACAGAGUCCACGAGGGGCUCGGCGGCUGAGGACUCCGACCACCGCAGGAGAGUUUCUCUUGCAAGUGAUCCAUUAGUCCCAAGAGAAAUAAGAGUGGGGGGGUGGGGGGUGGGAAGCAAAGCCGUCAGGGCCCUGUCAGCUUCAGAGCUGUCAGAUCCAGGGUUACUCUUGAAACAAGACUUGGCAGAAAGCAACUCUAAUGCAGAGUUACAUGUUUUGGAAAAUCUCUCCUCCAGACAGCUUAUGAAAAAUAAGCCAGGGCAGGCAGAGCAAACCCGCUCAGCCACAAACCCUGAAAGAUGAGCUCCGAUUCAAGGCAGCCCAACCAAGAAAAGAAAGCAGCAUGAGAAAGACCGCUGGAGAGGAUUGCAGACUUGCUGGAGAAGACUGCAGAUUGAUUGCUGAGGAGAUGGUGGCCAGGCCGGUGAAAAAUGUGUAUAGAUGCUGAGGCUUUGAAGGAAUUGGAAUGAUCUUAAGAAGGUAUAUACCUUUGUUGGCUUUUAAAGCGGUCACCUCCAGGAGCCCAUGUGCUUCUUCUGAUAGCAUUGAUCUUUCUCAUCACAUUUUCCAUCUUCAGAAACUUAUUUUAGUGAUUAAAUAGCCAUUCACUUUGUUGGCAGCAGGGCAUUCAUGAAGGAGCUCCAUAAAGAAACAAAUCCUCAUGGCAACGCUGGAUCCUUGACCCACUGAGUGAGGCCAGGGAUCGAACCCGCAACCUCAUGGUUUCUAGUCAGAUUCGUUUCCGCUGCACCACAAUGGGAACUCCUGUUCCCAGGUUCUUAAGCACAUGGAUGUUAAGCAGGGUGGCCGUGGACUUACCCCAAGAGUUGCAGGAUGUGGCUGUGUAAUGUGGACCAACUUCAGGGGAAGACAGGGCAGAGGCUUGUUCUUGCUCUGUAGCGCACGCAUGUCCCUGUCCCUGCCCCCACCUCUAAAAUCUGGUUUAAAAUCAGGACAGACCAGAACCUAAGGGGAACUCAGUGGCUAGAGAGUCCAGCUUCCCAUUUGGAAGGCUUCACAGGCAGUUUACAUUUCAAAACAGGUGCUUUUCCUUUGCAGGAUCACCCACUGUUGUCUCCAGUGGGGCUGCUGAAAUGUCACCUAAUGAAUCAUAGCAGUGACUUAUUUUGGAGGACCCCUAUAGUAGAUUUUCUUUCCAGGCUCCUUCGAAAAUAGGGAACAAACAAUAUUCAAAGGCCACUCAUCAAAUAUAUCUUUAUUUCCUGCUCAACAUACCUUCAAAGGGUGGUCCUUUGAAGUAGUACCUCCCUAGUAACAAGGAAAAUCAUGUGUAUUCCCAAAGUGUAGGAGUCAUCCAGAAAAAAAAAAGAAAAAAA